GCUGGCAUGCUUCAACGGUAGAGCAGGUGACUUGUAAUCAGCAGGUUGUAGGUUCGAUUCCUAUGCCCAGCUCCA
rnacentral:tRNA from 1 species